UACGUAGGGGGCAAGCGUUGUCCGGAUUUAUUGGGCGUAAAGAGCGUGUAGGCGGCCAUACAGGUCCGUUGUGAAAACUUGAGGCUCAACCUCGAGACGCCGAUGGAAACCGUAUGGCUAGAGUCCGGAAGAGGAGAGUGGAAUUCCUGGUGUAGCGGUGAAAUGCGCAGAUAUCAGGAAGAACACCCGUGGCUAAGGCGGCUCUCUAGUACGGUACUGACGCUGAGGUGCGAAAGCGUGGGGAGCAAACAGG
rnacentral:rRNA from 1 species